CCCGCCCAAUUUGGCUUGUCUGAGCCUGUGAUGUGCGGGAGAAUCCUCCAAUCGGGCGGCGACACAUGGAAAAAGGGUGGGACCAAGGCGGAAAAGGCGGCCGGAUUGGGAGGCGAACAUAUAUUAUAGAUCACAACGGAGUGCGCAUGCGUCGAACAGCUCCCUGCUUUCCCGCCCAAAUUGGCGAAUCCCUGUCUGAGCCUGUGACGUGCGGGAGAAUCGUCCAAUCGGGUGGCGACACAUGGAGAAGGGGUGGGACCAAGGCUAAAAAAAAACGGCCGUUUUGGAGGCGGGGCUUCUUCUUGGCUGUUAAUUGUAAAAUUUACCUCAGACAAGCCCGGGACCCCGAGAGAGAAGGCAGCUCGGCCUGGCAGCCAUUCUGAAGACCUGGUUCGGAAGAAAGAAAGAAAGAAAGAAGGAAGGAAAGCAAGGGCAGCCGUGGCUGGAAGGCCCCGAGGAGACAGGCGGGGAAGGCGGGCUCUCCUCAGGCCACUCACAGCCAGGCUCCGUUUCCGAUACAGAGAAAUGGCAAAGCCUUGUGAAACGGAUGGAAGAAAUAAAGGCAAAAUUUUUGAAAAUUUCCACAGCUUUUUCUAAAGGGACCAGCUCUGAAUUCAAGUCAACGUGAAGAAACAAAAGGUCAAGAGACAGAGGACGGAAGAUGCUUGAAGACACC